AUUGAAUGCUGGCGGCAGGCUUAACACAUGCAAGUCGAGCGGGGUGAUGGUGCUUGCACUAUCACUUAGCGGCGGACGGGUGAGUAAUGCUUAGGAAUCUGCCUAUUAGUGGGGGACAACAUCUCGAAAGGGAUGCUAAUACCGCAUACGUCCUGCGGGAGAAAGCAGGGGAUCACUUGUGACCUUGCGCUAAUAGAUGAGCCUAAGUCGGAUUAGCUAGUUGGUGGGGUAAAGGCCUACCAAGGCGACGAUCUGCAGCGGGUCUGAGAGGAUGAUCCGCCACACUGGGACUGAGACACGGCUCAGACUCCUACGGGAGGCAGCAGUGGGGAAUAUUGGACAAUGGGGGGAACCCUGAUCCAGCCAUGCCGCGUGUGUGAAGAAGGCCUUAUGGUUGUAAAGCACUUUAAGCGAGGAGGAGGCUCUUUUGGUUAAUACCCAAGAUGAGUGGACGUUACUCGCAGAAUAAGCACCGGCUAACUCUGUGCCAGCCGCCGCCGUAA
rnacentral:rRNA from 1 species